CGGAAGCUCCCACCUGAGCGGCGCAUCCUCAGGGCCUGGGCCUGGCCUCCUUGCCUGUGAGAUGGCACUGUGACGGUGCCCACCUCGUGGGGUGUGUGAGGGCCGAGUGAAAUCGUGCAUUUGCGAUGUCUAGGACACACUGGAUUUGUACAUCUGGGGCUCAGGAGAGGACCAGAUCAGAGCUGGAAAUCAUGCCAGGAAGAGUAUGAAGCAGGGAGAGAAGGUGUGGAGGCCUCCCUGAGGAAACGAGGGGUCGAGCAGGUGAAGAGGGGGCUGAGAGCUAAGGAGUGCACAGAGACAAUGACAGAAAGACGGGAGGUCUGGUUUCAGGAAGGGUGUGAUGGACAGAAGAGAUGCAGCAGAGGUCAAGGAAGGACCAAGAUGCAUCAGGAGGAAAUGCCCAUGACCUUCAUCGCAGCAGCGUAUGUGCGUUGGUCUUCUCCAGGGAUGCCGAAAGUAGACAUACAGGGAGUCGCAGUACGGAUACCACCAGUGCCAGCCUGACCUCACAAGAGACGUCUUGUGUGACUGGCCCUGCCGUCACAGCUGGGCCAGUAAAGUACCUUCCAGGAGGCUCCAGUUGCUACCUGACUCACAACCUUCUAAUCCCAUGAUCUUUUAGUUCUAGUUUCCUUAUCUUGGUCUGAGCAAAUGGCUCAUUUUAAAGAUGACUUGCAGACAAAUGUAGAGAUCAUCCCAGGGGAAAGUGCCCCAAGAAAGGAGAGUCCAAGACCACCUGCCCCUCCCAGUUCUGCGGCUGGAGUGGGUGGGUGCAGCAACCACAGCCCCAGUGUACAGGAGUCACCACUGUCUCCUCCCGCAUUGGCCCAGCUUGGAAGUGCACAGCAACCAAGCAUGAGGACUGAGUUAAGCUUUUCGGAGAAAAAAGACACUAUGAUCAUCUGGCAGAUCACGAUCACUGUUUGGUGCCAGAGGUAAGGAGUUUGCUUGUUGUGUUUGCUUGGAGGCGACAGUUGGCAAUGACAGCCUGGGAGAAGCACCGGCAGUUAACAGCACUCUGCACCACUCAUGGCUGAGACUGAGGGGAGCCUUUUACAGCAGCUCUGAAAGCAGGAGGUGUUCUCAGACUUGACCCUGAAGUAAACACAUCUCUUUCACCUUUUUCUUAAGUGCUUGCUGGCACAUAACCACUUGCUGAAAUUGUGUCAUUGAUGCUAAAUUAGGAACACAUUAUAUGGAAGGAAGGGAACCACUUCUCAGCACACAUGCCCAGGCAGACUGUGUGGGAUAGAUUUCUGCUUCUCAGAUAAGCCCUGGGCUAGAGACACUUGAGAUGUGGUGGUGAUCUCUGGAGGGAAAGCAGGAAGGCUUCAGGUCUCUUUUAGACUGAAAGAGAAGGGCCUCAUCUGCAGUUUAGUAUACUCUGAGGGUCUGGAAAUCCUUUAGGCGAGGUGCUCUUCCAUCAAAAAGCCAGAUGCUAAGGCAGCAGGUGGAGUUACAGCCCUAUCACCCCAGGCAGCAGCCAGAAAAAAUGGGUCAGGUAAACUCACCUACUCCAACUAAAAGAGCACGGGCAGAAUGCUUCCUCUUAGCCAGUGGUUUCCAAACUUGAAUGUAAAUCAAAAUCACCUGAGGGCUUAUUAAGCCACAUUGCUGAUGCAUUUCUGACUCAGUGGGUCUGGGCCCGCCUUCCUAGCAAGCAACCAGGUGAUGCUGAUAAACUGCUGGUCAGGGACUCAUGUUGAAAACCACAGCUCCAGAUCACAUAGACAUCUGUACCAAAGAAGCGACGAGGGCACAGACAAAUUCCAUUAUAAUAGCCAUCUUUAUUUGUAAAAAUCCAGAUAUAAAAUGUAUUCUUUCAGUC
rnacentral:lncRNA from 10 species